rnacentral:rRNA from 1 species
GACGUAGGGCGCGAGCGUUGUCCGGAUUUAUUGGGCGUAAAGAGCUCGUAGGCGGCUUGUUGCGUCGGCUGUGAAACCCGCGGCUUAACUGUGGGCUUGCAGCUGAUACGGGCAGGCUAGAGUUCGGUAGGGGAGACUGGAAUUCCUGGUGUAGCGGUGAAAUGCGCAGAUAUCAGGAAGAACACCCGUGGCGAAAGCGGCUCUCUGGAACGGUACUGACGCUGAGACGCGAAAGCGUGGGGAGCGAACAGG